rnacentral:rRNA from 1 species
GUAGGUGGCAAGCGUUGUCCGGAAUUAUUGGGCGUAAAGCGCGCGCAGGCGGUUCUUUAAGUCUGAUGUGAAAGCCCACGGCUCAACCGUGGAGGGUCAUUGGAAACUGGAGAACUUGAGUACAGAAGAGGAAAGCGGAAUUCCACGUGUAGCGGUGAAAUGCGUAGAGAUGUGGAGGAACACCAGUGGCGAAGGCGGCUUUCUGGUCUGUAACUGACGCUGAGGCGCGAAAGCGUGGGGAGCAAACAGGGAUUAGAUACCCUGAUAGUCCACGCCGUAAACGAUGAGUGCUAAGUGUUAGGGGGUUUCCGCCCCCUUAGUGCUGCAGCUAACGCAUUAAGCACUCCGCCUGGGAGUACGGCCGCAAGGCUG